rnacentral:rRNA from 1 species
UACGAAGGGGACUAGCGUUGUUCGGAAUCACUGGGCGUAAAGCGCACGUAGGCGGAUUUGUAAGUCAGGGGUGAAAUCCCGGGGCUCAACCUCGGAACUGCCUUCGAUACUGCGGGUCUCGAGUCCGGGAGAGGUGAGUGGAAUUCCUAGUGUAGAGGUGAAAUUCGUAGAUAUUAGGAAGAACACCAGUGGCGAAGGCGGCUCACCGGCCCGGGUACUGACGCU